rnacentral:rRNA from 1 species
GACGUAGGGCGCGAGCGUUGUCCGGAUUUAUUGGGCGUAAAGAGCUCGUAGGCGGCUUGUCGCGUCGAAUGUGAAAACCCGCAGCUCAACUGUGGGCUUGCAGCUGAUACGGGCAGGCUAGAGUUCGGUAGGGGAGACUGGAAUUCCUGGUGUAGCGGUGAAAUGCGCAGAUAGUCAGGAGGAACACCGAUGGCGAAGGCAGAUCUCUGGGCCGUUACUGACGCUGAGGAGCGAAAGCGUGGGGAGCGAACAGG